rnacentral:tRNA from 1 species
GCGGACGUAGCUCAGCUGGUUAGAGCGCCGGUUUGUGGUACCGGAGGUCGCGGGUUCAAGUCCCGUCUUCCGCCCCA